UACGUAGGGAGCAAGCGUUGUUCGGAUUUACUGGGCGUAAAGGGCGCGUAGGCGGCCAUCGCAAGUCGACUGUGAAAUCUCCGGGCUUAACCCGGAAAGGUCAGCCGAUACUGCGGGGCUAGAGUGCAGAAGGGGCAACUGGAAUUCUCGGUGUAGCGGUGAAAUGCGUAGAUAUCGAGAGGAACACCUGCGGCGAAGGCGGGUUGCUGGGCUGACACUGACGCUGAUGCGCGAAAGCUAGGGGAGCGAACGGG
rnacentral:rRNA from 1 species